GCAAGAGGAAGUCUACCAAAAGGUAUUUGCUAUGACUUGGACGAAGUGUAUUUGCCAUAGGGCCAAAUUUAUGGGAGUUCUAUUCUGGGAUUUGGCUGGGUACAAGGGAAGUAUUGGUUUGGAAAUAACUGUGGUUAGCUAGGAAUGAUUGUAUUCAUUCUGACAACAAGAAAUAUGGAAUUACAGAAAGCUUCAUCUUUUAAGUUCAAUAAUUUAUUCAUUUGGCUAUUAAUUUGGUUAGAAUAACAAAAUCUUAUGAUUCUUUUUCCUCUAAAAAUUUUAUUCUGUAUCUGAUUCCUUUUGAGCAUAUUCUUUUUAUGUAGCUCAGUUCAGUCAAUACU
rnacentral:misc_RNA from 1 species